rnacentral:rRNA from 1 species
UGCCAGCCGCCGCGGUAAGACAGAGGGUGCAAGCGUUGUUCGGAAUCAUUGGGCGUAAAGCGCGCGUAGGCGGUCUGGUAUGUCGGAUGUGAAAGCCCGGGGCUCAACCCCGGAAGUGCAUCCGAAACUGCCAGACUUGAAUCCCGGAGAGGGUGGUGGAAUUCCUGGUGUAGAGGUGAAAUUCGUAGAUAUCAGGAGGAACACCGGUGGCGAAGGCGACCACCUGGACGGAGAUUGACGCUGAGGCGCGAAAGCGUGGGGAGCAAACAGGAUUAGAUA